rnacentral:sRNA from 1 species
CCUUGAGCAUGGACAGCCUGGAUCUGCUGGGUGAAGGGAGAAGUUAUGUCCAGGGUGGGACAGAGAGGAUGGCGAGAGAUUUCCUCACUACUCAGAACAGCGGGAAAUUCAAAACUUAGGGAUUAUUUCUGAAAUUUUCCAUUUAAAAUUGACCAAGUGUAACUGAAACCAGAGAAAGCAAGACUGACGAUAAGGGAGGGGCCUCCUGUACUCCAAGAGCACUGAAUCUGGAAAAACUCAACACAUCGAUGGAGUCAUAUAUUUAAUUUUUUCUUAAAAGCCACCUGUGGGGUAUUGUAGAAACGCUGCGCUGCCUAUCACAGCUUGUGAUGUGACACGUUCAUUCUGCAAGUUUAAACUUCGCCUAGCAAAGAGCUCCUGGGAAGGUGCUGCUGGAUGCAGUUUGCAACCACCUCAACCUCGUGGAAGGUGACUAUUUUGGCCUCGAGUUUCCUGAUCACAAAAAGAUCACGGUGUGGCUGGAUCUCCUAAAACCCAUUGUGAAACAGAUUAGAAGGCCAAAGCAUGUUGUUGUUAAGUUUGUGGUGAAAUUCUUUCCGCCUGACCACACACAACUCCAAGAAGAACUCACAAGGUACCUGUUCGCGCUGCAGGUGAAGCAGGACUUGGCUCAAGGCAGGUUGACGUGUAAUGACACCAGCGCAGCUCUCUUGAUUUCACACAUUGUGCAAUCUGAGAUUGGGGAUUUUGAUGAAGCCUUGGACAGAGAGCACUUAGCAAAAAAUAAAUACAUACCUCAGCAAGACGCACUAGAGGACAAAAUCGUGGAAUUUCA